rnacentral:rRNA from 1 species
AUUGAACGCUGGCGGCAUGCCUUACACAUGCAAGUCGAACGGCAGCACGGGAGCAAUCCUGGUGGCGAGUGGCGAACGGGUGAGUAAUAUAUCGGAACGUGCCCAGUAGUGGGGGAUAGCCCGGCGAAAGCCGGAUUAAUACCGCAUACGACCUGAGGGUGAAAGCGGGGGAUCGGCAAGACCUCGCGCUAUUGGAGCGGCCGAUAUCAGAUUAGCUAGUUGGUGGGGUAAAGGCCUACCAAGGCUACGAUCUGUAGUUGGUCUGAGAGGACGACCAGCCACACUGGGACUGAGACACGGCCCAGACUCCUACGGGAGGCAGCAGUGGGGAAUUUUGGGACAAUGGGCGCAAGCCUGAUCCAGCAAUGCCGCGUGCAGGAAGAAGGCCUCGGGUUGUAAC